GAUGAACGCUGGCGGCGUGCCUAAUACAUGCAAGUCGAGCGAACAGACGAGGAGCUUGCUCAUCUGACGUUAGCGGCGGACGGGUGAGUAACACGUGGAUAACCUACCUAUAAGACUGGGAUAACUUCGGGAAACCGGAGCUAAUACCGGAUAAUAUAUUGAGCCGCAUGGUUCAAUAGUGAAAGACGGUUUUGCUGUCACUUAUAGAUGGAUCCGCGCCGCAUUAGCUAGUUGGUAAGGUAACGGCUUACCAAGGCAACGAUGCGUAGCCGACCUGAGAGGGUGAUCGGCCACACUGGAACUGAGACACGGUCCAGACUCCUACGGGAGGCAGCAGUAGGGAAUCUUCCGCAAUGGGCGAAAGCUUGACGGAGCAACGCCGCGUGAGUGAUGAAGGUCUUCGGAUCGUAAAACUCUGUUAUUAGGGAAGAACAAAUGUGUAAGUAACUAUGCACGUCUUGACGGUACCUAAUCAGAAAGCCACGGCUAACUACGUG
rnacentral:rRNA from 1 species